rnacentral:rRNA from 1 species
GACGAACGCUGGCGGCGUGCUUAACACAUGCAAGUCGAACGGAAAGGCCCUGCUUUUGUGGGGUGCUCGAGUGGCGAACGGGUGAGUAACACGUGAGUAACCUGCCCUUGACUUUGGGAUAACUUCAGGAAACUGGGGCUAAUACCGGAUAGGAGCUCCUGCUGCAUGGUGGGGGUUGGAAAGUUUCGGCGGUUGGGGAUGGACUCGCGGCUUACCAGCUUGUUGGUGGGGUAGUGGCUUACCAAGGCUUUGACGGGUAGCCGGCCUGAGAGGGUGACCGGCCACAUUGGGACUGAGAUACGGCGCAGACUCCUACGGGAGGCAGCAGUGGGGAAUAUUGCACAAUGGGUGGACGCCUGAUGCAGAAACGCCGCGUGCGGGAUGACGGCCUUCGGGUUGUAAACCGCUUUCGCCUGUGACGAAGCGUGAGUGACGGUAAUGGGUAAAGAAGCACCGGCUAACUACGUG